UGCGGGAAUGGUGCCCCCCAACCCUCUGCGUAUAAGGAUAGGGAGACUAAAAGGGUCGCUGUGUAAAGCCUUCGCAGGGCCUUUUUUCCCCACUCGGGGCGGAAUGCCAAAUACAGCGGAGGAAUGCUUGAUAAAUGCGGGGCCUCCUUUCUAAUUCUUUUGGGAUCAUCAUCAUCACCUUGUAUGCCACGUGACUCUCAAUGACUCUGGAUGGCUUCCAACAAUCAAAUAAAGAAAUUACAAUAACAUCAAUAAAGGAAUCUGAAUUAAAACGUCUCAGACAGAUGACUGUUGACCUGUGCUUGAACAGACCUGAGAAUGAGGAGCACAUCAUCCUACUGGGUAAUUGUUUCUAUUGUCAAUCUGCUCUUACUGUUAGGAAGUUAUUUCUAAGAUUAAAUUGGAAUCUGCCUUCUGGAAACUUAAAUCUGUCUGGCUUUAAUAAUGGUUUAGCGCACUGAGGACACAGCAAAUCACAGCCUCUUUUUGGUCAGGAUCCCAGCAAUUAUUCCUAUAAGGGGGUGGGGGGAAGGAAGCAAGGUUUUUUUUCAGUCCCCAUUAUUCCCUAUGAUGGAAUACUCAAAAUAUUUUGCAUUGUUUCCACUAGAAUACAGGCCACUUGAAAAGUUCUGAUGGAACAUUUUAAGUGGGUCUGUUUGGUUCCAAACUCAGAACAAAGCUCGUUUAUUUGGUUUUGUUUUGGGCAUACCACUAGAAAUUAUCCAGUACUCUGUCACCCAAAGGAAAUUACCCUAUUAAGCCUAUGCCUAGAAUUUGAGGAAUGGGACACACAUUAAGGAUAAUGGAAACCAAAGAAAGGGAGCCAACUUUGGAAUUCACUAGAACUUUUUUAGUAGCAUGGAAGCCACGAUGAAAUUGUUUUGCAGACUGAAUUAGGACAAACUGACCCCCAAAUACUUCAUGUUGUAAUCAGGCAUGCCAGGACAAAGAACCUCAAAUGUGUAAUACUGUGUGCUGACGUUUACUUACCUAUAAUAAAGAAAAAUUGCUUUCCUAUGCCUUGUAAAAUUCUAUCA